GACGAACGCUGGCGGCGUGCUUAACACAAGCAAGUCGAACGGUAAGGCCCUUCGGGCUACACGAGUGGCGAACGGGUGAGUAACACGUGGGUGAUCUGCCCUGCACUUCGGGAUAAGCCUGGGAAACUGUGUCUAAUACCGGAUAGGACCACUGCCUGCAGGGGUGGUGGGUGAAAGCUUUUGCGGUGUGGGAUGGGCCCGCGGCCUAUCAGCUUGUUGGUGGGGUGAUGGACUACCGAGGCGACGACGGGUAGCCGGCCUGAGAGGGUGACCGGCCACACUGGGACUGAGAUACGGCCCAGACUCCUACGGGAGGCAGCAGUGGGGAAUAUUGCACAAUGGGCGCAAGCCUGAUGCAGCGACGCCGCGUGAGGGAUGACGGCCUUCGGGUUGUAAACCUCUUUCAGCACCGACGAAGCGCAAGUGACGGUAGGUGCAGAAGAAGGACCGGCCAACUACGUGCCAGCCGCCGCAGUAA
rnacentral:rRNA from 1 species